rnacentral:scRNA from 1 species
CAAUUCGGACCGGAAGUUGGGCUUGAAGCCCGAAUAAGGGUGAGUACACAUGGAGGCCCCAGUCGC